UGCGCGCGCCCCCGCCCCGCGCCCCCCGCGCCCCCGCCCCGCGCCCCCCCCGCCCCGCUACCCCGCGCCCCCGCGGCCCCCGCGCCCCCGCGGCCCCCGCGCCCCCCGCGCCCCCGCCCCCGCUUGUGUGCGCGGCUGUGGCCGGUCGAGGCCCGACCACCUGCUCCGAGGACUGUGUUUCUUGCUGACACCAAACGCCCGGCAGGGGGUGGAAUGAAAAGGACAAAUAAAUUAACUGUAAAGAAAAAACAACCCUUCCCGCAUUCUGCCACCUACAACGGCCUCUCCAUUCCCAAGCGUUCUCUCAGGGCCACCACCAGGCCCAGAAACCGCCGGAAGGGGGAAGGGACGUGGAUAAGAGCUAGAGAGUGUUGGUCUCCCUUUGGAGCUGAUUUGACCUCACUCCCCUUCUGGCAAAGCUUUUAUUUGCAUUUCCCUUGUGCACCCAACAGCUCACUCCCUAGGGACAGGUACUGUCAACAGUUCAGUGUGGAAUAAAGGAACGUAGUUGCUUCUUUCCUGAACAUGACCAAGAAAAGGAUUCCAAAGAACAUGGUCUGAAGGAAAACAGACCACAGAGCUUACAAGGAUCUCUGCUUGCUGAGUUGUAAGAUUCGUCUGUGGAGCAACUCACUGAUGCCUGACUUCUGCUAUCUGUUUUGGAAGAAAAGCCUAAGGUAGGUAAUAUGUGAUUGUCACGUGGAAUCUAAGAUUCGGUGGCAGUCACCAGGCAAAUGACCAUUCCAUCCUCUGGAUAAGGUGUGAACAGGUUCUGGUUAGAUGUCAGUGUGUCCACCUGGUUGCUGCCACGGUUAAACCUUAACCAACAUGAACGUCUUUAUGUUAAACUAACCUGUCACAUUGUUAGUGUGCAGAGCCUUGGGGAAUGGGACAGGUGUGUUUUAAGGCGAGGAAGAGGAACUUGGGUUGGUGAGUCAAUGCCUGGGGCGAGGGGGGUGGGCAUCAUAAUCAUAAUAGUUCCAGCUCUGGGCAGCUGGAACUCUGGAGGGAAUUUGGAAGGGAAAGAAGGGGCCAUGGUUCCAGGGGUGGGCUAUGUCCAGGGGAUGAGUUUUACACACUUUACUUUGCCUGGGGGCAGACAGUAAUAAUUAUGAUAUAAAGUUAAAUUUGGGUCGAUUUUGAUUAAUUUAUAUCGGCACAGACUUGUCAAAGGACUCUAUCUCUCUACGUCCUGCUCCAGAACCUUGACCUUGCAGGGAUUUGAACAGAUCUUGAAAGGCUGAGUAAGGAGGAGUAGCCACACUGUCAGCAGGGCCCCCUUGCAUGGCCCAUCACAGAUCACUGUGUGGCCCUGUGACCAGAUUCAGCCCCAGGAGGGAUGAGUGCAAGUGGUGUGUGCAGUUUUUCUGUCCUGCCCUCUGUGUUCCCCUUGAAGCCUUACAUGCCUUGCCCAGUGACCAGGGAAGUAGGGCACAAGUGGUUGUUUUCACAGAUAUUCUUCUGAUUUUAGUCUAUACCAUCAUUCAGGCCAUCACGUUCCCUUUCCAUCCACAUCUGGCAUCUUGGUUGACAUCCCAGGUGAAGCCUAGAAAUAAACGCUGACAGCAAGAUUCCAGUGCAGGUCGUUUCUUUGAGAAGGUGAUUCUAGGAAACAUAAAUAGGGAAGAGGGGAAAGUGUG
rnacentral:lncRNA from 1 species